GAUGAACGCUGGCGGCGUGCCUAAUACAUGCAAGUCGAGCGAACGGACGAGAAGCUUGCUUCUCUGAUGUUAGCGGCGGACGGGUGAGUAACACGCGGAUAACCUACCUAUAAGACUGGGAUAACUUCGGGAAACCGGAGCUAAUACCGGAUAAUAUUUUGAACCGCAUGGUUCAAAAGUGAAAGACGGUCUUGCUGUCACUUAUAGAUGGAUCCGCGCUGCAUUAGCUAGUUGGUAAGGUAACGGCUUACCAAGGCAACGAUGCAUAGCCGACCUGAGAGGGUGAUCGGCCACACUGGAACUGAGACACGGUCCAGACUCCUACGGGAGGCAGCAGUAGGGAAUCUUCCGCAAUGGGCGAAAGCCUGACGGAGCAACGCCGCGUGAGUGAUGAAGGUCUUCGGAUCGUAAAACUCUGUUAUUAGGGAAGAACAUAUGUGUAAGUAACUGUGCACAUCUUGACGGUACCUAAUCAGAAAGCCACGGCUAACUACGUGCCAGCAGCCGCGGUAAUACGUAGGUGGCAAGCGUUAUCCGGAAUUAUUGGGCGUAAAGCGCGCGUAGGCGGUUUUUUAAGUCUGAUGUGAAAGCCCACGGCUCAACCGUGGAGGGUCAUUGGAAACUGGAAAACUUGAGUGCAGAAGAGGAAAGUGGAAUUCCAUGUGUAGCGGUGAAAUGCGCAGAGAUAUGGAGGAACACCAGUGGCGAAGGCGACUUUCUGGUCUGUAACUGACGCUGAUGUGCGAAAGCGUGGGGAUCAAACAGGAUUAGAUACCCUGGUAGUCCACGCCGUAAACGAUGAGUGCUAAGUGUUAGGGGGUUUCCGCCCCUUAGUGCUGCAGCUAACGCAUUAAGCACUCCGCCUGGGGAGUACGACCGCAAGGUUGAAACUCAAAGGAAUUGACGGGGACCCGCACAAGCGGUGGAGCAUGUGGUUUAAUUCGAAGCAACGCGAAGAACCUUACCAAAUCUUGACAUCCUUUGACAACUCUAGAGAUAGAGCCUUCCCCUUCGGGGGACAAAGUGACAGGUGGUGCAUGGUUGUCGUCAGCUCGUGUCGUGAGAUGUUGGGUUAAGUCCCGCAACGAGCGCAACCCUUAAGCUUAGUUGCCAUCAUUAAGUUGGGCACUCUAAGUUGACUGCCGGUGACAAACCGGAGGAAGGUGGGGAUGACGUCAAAUCAUCAUGCCCCUUAUGAUUUGGGCUACACACGUGCUACAAUGGACAAUACAAAGGGCAGCGAAACCGCGAGGUCAAGCAAAUCCCAUAAAGUUGUUCUCAGUUCGGAUUGUAGUCUGCAACUCGACUACAUGAAGCUGGAAUCGCUAGUAAUCGUAGAUCAGCAUGCUACGGUGAAUACGUUCCCGGGUCU
rnacentral:rRNA from 1 species